rnacentral:rRNA from 1 species
AUUGAACGCUGGCGGCAUGCCUUACACAUGCAAGUCGAACGGUAACAGGUCUUCGGAUGCUGACGAGUGACGAACGGGUGAGUAAUACAUCGGAACGUGCCCGAUCGUGGGGGAUAACGAAGCGAAAGCUUUGCUAAUACCGCAUACGAUCUACGGAUGAAAGCAGGGGACCGCAAGGCCUUGCGCGAACGGAGCGGCCGAUGGCAGAUUAGGUAGGUGGUGGGAUAAAAGCUUACCAAGCCGACGAUCUGUAGCUGGUCCGAGAGGACGACCAGCCAAGCUGGGACUGAGACACGGCCCAGACUCCUACGGGAGGCAGCAGUGGGGAAUUUUGGACAAUGGGCGAAAGCCUGAUUCAGCCAUGCCGCGUGCAGGAUGAAGGCCUUCGGGUUGUAAACUGCUUUUGUACGGAACGAAAAGACUCUGGUUAAUACCUGGGGUCCAUGACGGUACCGUAAGAAUAAGCACCGGCUAACUACGUGCCAGCAGCCGCCGUAA